rnacentral:rRNA from 1 species
CGCGUAGGUGGCUCUAUAAGUUAAGUGUGAAAUCCCAUGGCUUAACCAUGGAAUUGCACUUGAUACUGUGGAGCUAGAGUAUGGUAGAGGGAAGUGGAAUUUCCGGAGUAGCGGUGAAAUGCGUAGAUACCGGAAGGAACACCAGUGGCGAAGGCGGCUUCCUGGACCAAUACUGACACUGAGGCGCGACAGCGUGGGGAGCAAACAGGAUUAGAUACCCUGGUAGUCCACGCCGUAAACGAUGAAAACUAGCUGUUGGGUGUAUUUAUACACUUAGUAGCGCAGCUAACGCGAUAAGUUUUCCGCCUGGGGAGUACGGCCGCAAGGUUAAA